AAAGGGAGAAACAAUUAUUGCACUUUCUGAAUAAACAUGAUUAUCUCAGAAAAGACAAGAAAGCAAAAAGGCAAAGAACAGGGGGGAAAGCAACAUGGAGAUGCUUCUAUCUGCUGCAACGGUUCCUCUGUUACAUGAAUGAGUGAUGUCUCUUAUGGAGCACAAAACAACAAGUGUACACAAAAUCCUUGGACUGCCUCAAGUUCAGAGAUCCCUUUUCUAAUCUACAGUAUGUUUAGGAACUGAAAUGGAAGGUGGAGGGGAGAAACCCCACAGGACCAGAAAUAAAUAAAAUUGGCUUCUCUUACCAUCCACUUCCAUCAACUUCCUAAAAGACACCAGGCAAAUCACUUUUUUCCCUGGCUGUCAUUUCUCCUCUUUAUAAAUAAGCAGAAAUACUAUCUCCACCUUCUUUUUUUCUGCCUGCUUUUCCUGUUCAGACUGUACACUUUUGGGGACCCUGUGACUGACCAGUGCCCAGGAAAACACUGUCAACAGAAGACGCAGCAGACGAAAACUACUUGGAUUUGAAAGAUUAGAUUUUUCUAUACUCCACAUCUGAGGAAUGCUAUCCCAGCUUAGGGAUAAUCGUUGUUUCAGGGCAGGAAGGGGUUAAUCCCACCUUUGUUUAGUUACAUACAUUUUCUAACAAAACAAGAGAGACAGAGAACAAAAGCCCGAAUUUAUGGCUUGUCUUUCUGCAAGACAAUCUGCUUACACUAAAACAAAGCAUGGAUUUACAGUACACUGGGUGACUGCACCAACUCCCAGUACGGACACAAACAAGGUACAUUUUGAAAAUCUAGAUUGCAGCUGACAACUCUUGCCUCGUACUGCUGAAGGCUGAGAGACAGCCUGAAGAAAACACCGGACACAGAGGACCUGAACGCACAAGGGGGAGCAAAGCAACGUAAUCCCCUUUCAGGGGCAGCAGCAGAUUGAGACCACAGCCAUCACAAGGGGAAGAAGCCUUUAAAAAAAAAUGCUCACAGGAAAAAGAAAGUUCAGGCAAUAUGUGAGCUCUCCUACAACUAGAUGACACCAAAUUCAACUAUGUCAUGAUCAUGCAAUACUGCAAAGAUACUUCAAGUAAUGUGAACACACACUUCAUAAAUAUACAAAAGGAGGAGAUCCUGCCUUCUUUCCUCUAGGAAGAAACCUUGAGGAAAGAAGAUAAGACCAGAAAAAGAUAAUUUAAACUAAGAAGCAAAAGAAGAAGCACAAUGUUGUCACUCUCAAGAGUACUGCAAUAAACCUGUCACAGGUCAGUCUGCUCCAGGAUGCAAGUACACCAAAGAGGGACUGGUAGCAGGCAAGUGUCUCUCUCCUGGCAAGGACAUAUACUAUCUUCAAGCUCACACAUCUGGUUGAAUCAGGAAUGUCAACCUCUAGAAGCACUGCUGCCAAGAACUGAAAUCACCAUGGCUGCCUGGGCAACACAGGUGAAUGAGUGUGUAUUCAUUUACCACAUCCUGCUGACUCAGGCCAGGUAAGGAACUUGUUUGGAAACACCUCUAAUGUUAUGUGCAAGUAGGUACCUUUUCCUACUGCCCUGACUCCUGCUGUUAGCACUGACACAGAAGAUAAAAGAACUUUAUGCAUACAAAAUAGGAUGUAGCCUGGUACAAUUUAAUUCAAUGUUUUCUAAUGACAAUGAUCUCAAAAUACAAAAGUGUAUUUCAAAGAAGGAAUGGAAAGCAGUAUCCACCUCUGCUGGAGCUCAGAAGCAGAACUGAAUGAACUGCAAUUAAUGGGUGAAGGCCUCGAGUGAGGAAAAAAAAAAGGUUAGGGUAAAAUGAGAGAAAGCAUUUAGAGAAGCAAAGGUGAAAGAACAGCAAGCAGAAUUCAGAAGAGCUAACAAGGGUUCGAAGAGCAAAGCAAAGAAUGUCAGAGAAGCAACUAAAAGUAUUCCAGGGGGGAAAAAAGUUCCAAACAGUAAUGCAAGAAAAAAAUACCCAAACAUAUCACUACUUUGGAAACGAUGCAAAUGUGCAACAGU